CAGCAGCCACGGUAAUACGAAGGGUGCAAGCGUUAAUCGGAAUUACUGGGCGUAAAGCGUGCGUAGGCGGUUUGUUAAGUCUGUUGUGAAAUCCCCGGGCCCAACCUGGGAAUGGCAAUGGAUACUGGCAAGCUAGAGUGUGUCAGAGGAUGGUGGAAUUCCCGGUGUAGCGGUGAAAUGCGUAGAGAUCGGGAGGAACAUCAGUGGCGAAGGCGGCCAUCUGGGACAACACUGACGCUGAGGCACGAAAGCGUGGGGAGCAAACAGGAUUAGAUACCCCCGUAGUCCCUGUCUCUUAUAC
rnacentral:rRNA from 1 species